CCUACGGGAGGCAGCAGUGGGGAAUAUUGGACAAUGGGGGAACCCCUGAUCCAGCGACGCCGCGUGAGUGAAGAAGUAUUUCUGUACGUAAAGCUCUAUCAGCAGGAAAGAAAAUGACGGUACCUGACUAAGAAGCCCCGGCUAACUACGUGCCAGCAGCCGCGGUAAUACGUAGGGGGCAAGCGGUAUCCGGAUUUACUGGGUGGAAAGGGAGCGUAGACGGCAGCGCAAGUCUGGAGUGAAAUGCCGGGGCCCAACCCCGGAACUGCUCUGGAAACUGUGAAGCUGGAGUGGAGGAGAGGUAAGCGGAAUUCCUGGUGUAGCGGUGAAAUGCGUAGAUAUCAGGAGGAACACCGGCGGCGAAGGCGGCUGACUGGACUGUAACUGACGUUGAGGCUCGAAGGCGUGGGGAGCAAACAGGAUUAGAUACCCUGUAGUC
rnacentral:rRNA from 1 species